UUCACGAUGUGGAUGCGACUGUCUUCAUAUAGCGAAAGGUUCGUGAAUGAUGUGCAGUACAUGCAGAGCAGACAAAUGCUCUUCAAGGCAAAGUACAACGAAGCAGUGGAGAAAGAAGAUAUUCAAGCACGAGUGUGGCUUUAUUUCAGAAAACCGCUAAGAAGAGUCAGUGAGGACUACAGAAGUCAAGGAGAACUCAGCAACUGGGCUUUCCGAUUGGUUGCGCCCGGUACGUCAGAGGAACAGCUAAGGUGAAGUUGGAAGAUCGCAAAGAAAAGUCGGAGAGAAUUACAGAAGUCAAGAAGAGCUGAGCUACUGGGCUUUCCGAUUGGUUGCGCCCGGUACGUCACAGGAACAGUUAAGGUGAUCGCUCGGAAAUAGCACGCCACCACCACUGCUGCACAAGAUGUCAUGUAACGUGGUUCACACUUGCCGCGAUUGCGGAUGCCAAUCAGGAAAUAUACAAUAAUUGCUCUACAAGAUAAUUUUUAAA